rnacentral:rRNA from 1 species
GACGAACGCUGGCGGCGUGCUUAACACAUGCAAGUCGAACGGAGAGGCGAAAGGGGGAGUAAAAGGGGGGUGAUAUGACUUGCACGGGGGGAUAAGAGUGGGAAACGGGGACUAAGAGAGGAGAGUGCAAGAGGAGCUCGAGGCCUAGCAGCUUGUUGGUGGGGUAAUGGCCUACCAAGGCGUCGACGGGUAGCCGGCCUGAGAGGGUGUACGGCCACAUUGGGACUGAGAUACGGCCCAGACUCGUACGGGAGGCAGCAGUGGGGAAUAUUGCACAAGGGGCGGAAGCCUGAUGCAGCGACGCCGCGUGGGGGAUGAAGGCUUUCGGGUUGUAAACUCCUUUCGACAGGGACGCUUUCCCUGUCUCUUACUCACCGGCUAACUACGUGCCAGCAGCCGCGGUAAUAC